AGUGAACGCUGGCGGUAGGCCUAACACAUGCAAGUCGAACGGCAGCACAGUAAAAGCUUGCUCUUACGGGUGGCGAGUGGCGGACGGGUGAGGAAUACAUCGGAAUCUACUUUUUCGUGGGGGAUAACGUAGGGAAACUUACGCUAAUACCGCAUACGACCUACGGGUGAAAGCAGGGGAUCUUCGGACCUUGCGCGAUUGAAUGAGCCGAUGUCGGAUUAGCUAGUUGGCGGGGUAAAGGCCCACCAAGGCGACAAUCCGUAGCUGGUCUGAGAGGAUGAUCAGCCACACUGGAACUGAGACACGGUCCAGACUCCUACGGGAGGCAGCAGUGGGGAAUAUUGGACAAUGGGCGCAAGCCUGAUCCAGCCAUACCGCGUGGGUGAAGAAGGCCUUCGGGUUGUAAAGCCCUUUUGUUGGGAAAGAAAAGCAGCAGGUUAAUACCCCGCUGUUCUGACGGUACCCAAAGAAUAAGCACCGGCUAACUUCGUG
rnacentral:rRNA from 1 species